GUGCGAAUGCAGACAUGAGUAGCGAUAAAGAGGGUGAGAUGCCCUCUCGCCGAAAGACCAAGGGUUCCUGCGCAAGGCUAAUCCGCGCAGGGUGAGCCGGCCCCUAAGACGAGCCCGAAGGGGGUAGUCGAUGGGAACCACGUUAAUAUUCGUGGGCCUGGUGGUGUGUGACGGAUCUCGUGUGUUGUACGUCCUUAUCGGAUUGGACGUGCCUCGAAGAGGUCCCGGGAAAUAGCCCCACCGUAUAGACCGUACCCGAAACCGACACAGGUGGUCAGGUAGAGUAUACCAAGGCGCUUGAGAGAAGUGUCCUGAAGGAACUCGGCAAAUUGCCUCCGUACCUUCGGAAGAAGGAGGCCCCAUGUAAGCGCAAGCUCUCAUGGGGGGCACAGGCCAGGGGGUAGCGACUGUUUAGCAAAAACACAGGGCUCUGCUAAGUCGGCUUCAAGACGACGUAUAGGGCCUGACGCCUGCCCGGUGCCUGAAGGUUAAGUGGAGGAGUGCAAGCUCUGAAACUG
rnacentral:rRNA from 1 species